CGGGGUGUAGCGCAGUUGGUAGCGCACUUGGUUUGGGACCAAGAUGCCGCAGGUUCGAAUCCUGUCACUCCGA
rnacentral:tRNA from 1 species